rnacentral:rRNA from 1 species
UACAGAGGGUGCAAGCGUUGUUCGGAAUUAUUGGGCGUAAAGCGCGUGUAGGCGGCUUUGCAAGUCGGGUGUGAAAGCCCUCAGCUUAACUGAGGAAGUGCGCCCGAAACUGCAGAGCUUGAGUACCGGAGAGGAUGGUGGAAUUCCAGAAGUAGAGGUGAAAUUCGUAGAUAUCUGGAGGAACACCGGUGGCGAAGGCGGCGAGCUGGUCCAUUACUGACGCUGAGGCGCGACAGCGUGGGGAGCAAACAGG